GGUUAAGCGACUAAGCGUACACGGUGGAUGCCCUGGCAGUCAGAGGCGAUGAAGGGCGUGCUAAUCUGCGAUAAGCGCCGGUAAGGUGAUAUGAACCGUUAUAACCGGCGAUACCCGAAUGGGGAAACCCAGUGUGACUCGUCACACUAUCAUUAACUGAAUCCAUAGGUUAAUGAGGCGAACCGGGGGAACUGAAACAUCUAAGUACCCCGAGGAAAAGAAAUCAACCGAGAUUCCCCCAGUAGCGGCGAGCGAACGGGGAGGAGCCCAGAGCCUGAAUCAGCAUGUGUGUUAGUGGAAGCGUCUGGAAAGGCGCGCGAUACAGGGUGACAGCCCCGUACACAAAAGCGCAUGUGCUGUGAGCUCGAUGAGUAGGGCGGGACACGUGGUAUCCUGUCUGAAUAUGGGGGGACCAUCCUCCAAGGCUAAAUACUCCUGACUGACCGAUAGUGAACCAGUACCGUGAGGGAAAGGCGAAAAGAACCCCGGCGAGGGGAGUGAAAAAGAACCUGAAACCGUGUACGUACAAGCAGUGGGAGCACAGGUUUACCUGUGUGACUGCGUACCUUUUGUAUAAUGGGUCAGCGACUUAUAUUCUGUAGCAAGGUUAACCGUAUAGGGGAGCCGUAGGGAAACCGAGUCUUAACCGGGCGUUAAGUUGCAGGGUAUAGACCCGAAACCCGGUGAUCUAGCCAUGGGCAGGUUGAAGGUUGGGUAACACUAACUGGAGGACCGAACCGACUAAUGUUGAAAAAUUAGCGGAUGACCUGUGGCUGGGGGUGAAAGGCCAAUCAAACCGGGAGAUAGCUGGUUCUCCCCGAAAGCUAUUUAGGUAGCGCCUCGUGAAUUCAUCUCCGGGGGUAGAGCACUGUUUCGGCUAGGGGGCCAUCCCGGCUUACCAACCCGAUGCAAACUGCGAAUACCGGAGAAUGUUAUCACGGGAGACACACGGCGGGUGCUAACGUCCGUCGUGAAGAGGGAAACAACCCAGACCGCCAGCUAAGGUCCCAAAGUCAUGGUUAAGUGGGAAACGAUGUGGGAAGGCCCAGACAGCCAGGAUGUUGGCUUAGAAGCAGCCAUCAUUUAAAGAAAGCGUAAUAGCUCACUGGUCGAGUCGGCCUGCGCGGAAGAUGUAACGGGGCUAAACCAU
rnacentral:rRNA from 3 species